AACAGAAAAUGGAUUUCAAAUGUAUUUCCUUUCCUUUGUUCAACCAGAAAACAUAUUUCCGAUAAUAUUUUUUUUACAAAAAGAAACGACAGUAUGCCUAACAGAAUUCAUGCUGCAACUAAACUUUUACCUUCUAAAUUAAUUGGUUAAUUACAAAAAUAUAAGGUUUAAUAAAUAUUAGGUUAAUUUUUUAACAUUUAUCCUCCAGCAUGAACCAAGGUUUUUAAGUUGGAUAGUGUAAGCUCGAUACGCUCCAAUGUACGGUAAAUAGAGUGGGUACUAAACGCCCGAAACAAAACGUCCAAUAACAAAACGCCCAAUGCAACAAAACGCGCCCAAUUACAAAACGUUCAAUGUUACAUGUUCCAAUCAUAUGUAAAAAGAAAACAGUAUUGUUUGAUCUCUUUUCAAGAAAUUUCUCAACUUAUCUGUUGAAAUUCCUCAUAGUAAAUUUUCUGGAGUCUCACAGCUCGAUGUAUCUGUAUUCUUCAGUGGUAGGCGAAUAUAUUUAGAUUUCAAUUUUUAUUUAUAUAAAGGUCGGGUUAGGACAGUUUUCGUACAUUGGAGCGCAUCGAAGAAGCAACCUUGGCAUGAAUCCAGAAUAAUUAUGCCGAUUAGUAUUGCAGUGGAAUUGGAUUUCUAAAUCCCACUGUGUUAUGUCGUUUAAUCAAAUUUGUUAUUAAUUUUUACCGUUUAUUUGAUACUUUGAUUCUUAGGGGAGGGGGGGAGGGGUUCCACACUCCUCCACUAGGGUUAUUAAUAUUUAGGCAGUAUAGUUUUUUUUUUAUGUUUUAAUCCGUUAUCUACUCGCCUUACAAAGGUUUCUGUAAAUCAAAAAUUUGACUUUUUAUUUUCUAAUUUAAGAUCCAUUUCGCGCAUCCGCUUAAGUAAUGGAGAAGAAGGAUAAGGAUGGGCUGCCAGAAGCUGGGGCUGUUAGGAAAUUGGCCAGGUUUCUCGAGGAAUUGAUUCCAUCCAUCCUUCAGCUCCAGGACUCAUUCUCCUUUAUCCAUCUCCGGAGUAAUCCAACCCGGACUCAUUCAUUCUUUUCCGGAGAGAAGGAGUAAUCCAACCAGGACUCAUUCAUCCUUCUCCG